GGUUAAGCGACUAAGCGUACACGGUGGAUGCCCUGGCAGUCAGAGGCGAUGAAGGACGUGCUAAUCUGCGAUAAGCGUCGGUAAGGUGAUAUGAACCGUUAUAACCGGCGAUUUCCGAAUGGGGAAACCCAGUGUGUUUCGACACACUAUCAUUAACUGAAUCCAUAGGUUAAUGAGGCGAACCGGGGGAACUGAAACAUCUAAGUACCCCGAGGAAAAGAAAUCAACCGAGAUUCCCCCAGUAGCGGCGAGCGAACGGGGAGCAGCCCAGAGCCUGAAUCAGUGUGUGUGUUAGUGGAAGCGUCUGGAAAGGCGCGCGAUACAGGGUGACAGCCCCGUACACAAAAAUGCACAUACUGUGAGCUCGAUGAGUAGGGCGGGACACGUGGUAUCCUGUCUGAAUAUGGGGGGACCAUCCUCCAAGGCUAAAUACUCCUGACUGACCGAUAGUGAACCAGUACCGUGAGGGAAAGGCGAAAAGAACCCCGGCGAGGGGAGUGAAAAAGAACCUGAAACCGUGUACGUACAAGCAGUGGGAGCCUCUUUAUGGGGUGACUGCGUACCUUUUGUAUAAUGGGUCAGCGACUUAUAUUCUGUAGCAAGGUUAACCGAAUAGGGGAGCCGAAGGGAAACCGAGUCUUAACUGGGCGUUAAGUUGCAGGGUAUAGACCCGAAACCCGGUGAUCUAGCCAUGGGCAGGUUGAAGGUUGGGUAACACUAACUGGAGGACCGAACCGACUAAUGUUGAAAAAUUAGCGGAUGACUUGUGGCUGGGGGUGAAAGGCCAAUCAAACCGGGAGAUAGCUGGUUCUCCCCGAAAGCUAUUUAGGUAGCGCCUCGUGAAUUCAUCUCCGGGGGUAGAGCACUGUUUCGGCAAGGGGGUCAUCCCGACUUACCAACCCGAUGCAAACUGCGAAUACCGGAGAAUGUUAUCACGGGAGACACACGGCGGGUGCUAACGUCCGUCGUGAAGAGGGAAACAACCCAGACCGCCAGCUAAGGUCCCAAAGUCAUGGUUAAGUGGGAAACGAUGUGGGAAGGCCCAGACAGCCAGGAUGUUGGCUUAGAAGCAGCCAUCAUUUAAAGAAAGCGUAAUAGCUCACUGGUCGAGUCGGCCUGCGCGGAAGAUGUAACGGGGCUAAACCAUGCACCGAAGCUGCGGCAGCGACACUAUGUGUUGUUGGGUAGGGGAGCGUUCUGUAAGCCUGUGAAGGUGUGCUGUGAGGUAUGCUGGAGGUAUCAGAAGUGCGAAUGCUGACAUAAGUAACGAUAAAGCGGGUGAAAAGCCCGCUCGCCGGAAGACCAAGGGUUCCUGUCCAACGUUAAUCGGGGCAGGGUGAGUCGACCCCUAAGGCGAGGCCGAAAGGCGUAGUCGAUGGGAAACAGGUUAAUAUUCCUGUACUUGGUGUUACUGCGAAGGGGGGACGGAGAAGGCUAUGUUGGCCGGGCGACGGUUGUCCCGGUUUAAGCGUGUAGGCUGGUUUUCCAGGCAAAUCCGGAAAAUCAAGGCUGAGGCGUGAUGACGAGGCACUACGGUGCUGAAGUAACAAAUGCCCUGCUUCCAGGAAAAGCCUCUAAGCAUCAGGUAACAUCAAAUCGUACCCCAAACCGACACAGGUGGUCAGGUAGAGAAUACCAAGGCGCUUGAGAGAACUCGGGUGAAGGAACUAGGCAAAAUGGUGCCGUAACUUCGGGAGAAGGCACGCUGAUAUGUAGGUGAAGUCCCUUGCGGAUGGAGCUGAAAUCAGUCGAAGAUACCAGCUGGCUGCAACUGUUUAUUAAAAACACAGCACUGUGCAAACACGAAAGUGGACGUAUACGGUGUGACGCCUGCCCGGUGCCGGAAGGUUAAUUGAUGGGGUUAGCGGUAACGCGAAGCUCUUGAUCGAAGCCCCGGUAAACGGCGGCCGUAACUAUAACGGUCCUAAGGUAGCGAAAUUCCUUGUCGGGUAAGUUCCGACCUGCACGAAUGGCGUAAUGAUGGCCAGGCUGUCUCCACCCGAGACUCAGUGAAAUUGAACUCGCUGUGAAGAUGCAGUGUACCCGCGGCAAGACGGAAAGACCCCGUGAACCUUUACUAUAGCUUGACACUGAACAUUGAGCCUUGAUGUGUAGGAUAGGUGGGAGGCUUUGAAGUGUGGACGCCAGUCUGCAUGGAGCCGACCUUGAAAUACCACCCUUUAAUGUUUGAUGUUCUAACGUUGGCCCCUAAUCGGGGUUGCGGACAGUGUCUGGUGGGUAGUUUGACUGGGGCGGUCUCCUCCUAAAGAGUAACGGAGGAGCACGAAGGUUGGCUAAUCCUGGUCGGACAUCAGGAGGUUAGUGCAAUGGCAUAAGCCAGCUUGACUGCGAGCGUGACGGCGCGAGCAGGUGCGAAAGCAGGUCAUAGUGAUCCGGUGGUUCUGAAUGGAAGGGCCAUCGCUCAACGGAUAAAAGGUACUCCGGGGAUAACAGGCUGAUACCGCCCAAGAGUUCAUAUCGACGGCGGUGUUUGGCACCUCGAUGUCGGCUCAUCACAUCCUGGGGCUGAAGUAGGUCCCAAGGGUAUGGCUGUUCGCCAUUUAAAGUGGUACGCGAGCUGGGUUUAGAACGUCGUGAGACAGUUCGGUCCCUAUCUGCCGUGGGCGCUGGAGAACUGAGGGGGGCUGCUCCUAGUACGAGAGGACCGGAGUGGACGCAUCACUGGUGUUCGGGUUGUCAUGCCAAUGGCACUGCCCGGUAGCUAAAUGCGGAAGAGAUAAGUGCUGAAAGCAUCUAAGCACGAAACUUGCCCCGAGAUGAGUUCUCCCUGACUCCUUGAGAGUCCUGAAGGAACGUUGAAGACGACGACGUUGAUAGGCCGGGUGUGUAAGCGCAGCGAUGCGUUGAGCUAACCGGUACUAAUGAACCGUGAGGCUUAACCUU
rnacentral:rRNA from 1 species